UACAGAGGUGGCAAGCGUUGUUCGGAAUUACUGGGCGUAAAGGGCGCGUAGGCGGCACGGCAAGUCGGGAGUGAAAGGCCUGGGCUCAACCGAGGAACUGCUUUCGAGACUGCCGAGCUAGAGUGCGGAAGGGGCAACUGGAAUUCCCAGUGUAGCGGUGAAAUGCGUAGAUAUUGGGAAGAACACCUGAGGCGAAGGCGGGUUGCUGGGCCGACACUGACGCUGAGGCGCGAAAGCCAGGGGAGCAAACGGG
rnacentral:rRNA from 1 species